UGAACCCAGGCAGAUGGGCCUCAGUGUCUGGGCAUAUCCUAUAAUGUACAUCACAUCUCCGAGAUGAGCUGGCCGCUACAAGCUCACCGAGUGCUCCCUGCAGCCCUCACAGCUCAGCCACAGCUGCCUGACUCGUCCACGCGGACAGGUGGGAUUCUUCCCGACCCGGUAGGCCUCUUUCUCACCUGGGUGCAGGGGCCCUGUGGAGGGAGCCAGGUCCUGUGCCACCUUUGUGCCUCAUGGCCCUGGGGCUGCCUCUUGGACAUAGACUCGACAUUCACUCUCAAGCCACUCAUGUGUCUGCAGGAACCACGAGCUGGGCCUCCGAAUGUUCCUGACCCUUGUGUGAGUGGCAGGGUCUGUGUCCAGUGAGGUCCAGAGGUUGUGUGAAGUUCAAAGAGCAAAGUUUGAGGCAGCUGCUGCUUCUGAGGCCUCUUUGGAGCCACGUGGUGAGGCUAUGGGGAUUCUUCUCUGCUUAUGGCAACUGGGGAGCACAGGUCAGCCUUGGGAAGUGAGUCCCCUUUUGGGUUAAAAGAACAGCAGCUCAGGGUCUGGAAGGGAGGUCGCUGAAUGAGUUGAUGGAUGGUGCCUGCCACUGAAGGAGUUUUCCUUGCCCCUUCAUGGAGAGGGCUGAGGAAAUACCCUGGACCUGCCACAGAGACAAGUGAGGAAAGAAGAGGGUGAGAGUCUGAUCAUGUAUGUGUGAAUGUCCAUCAGGUUCUAGACUGGAAAACGCCAUAUCUUUGGGUUUAAGGUCAUAUUUUCUGAUUUGAAGAAUGAAUUGCAAAGUCAGAUUUAGAGGACUGUUACUUUUUCAUCAGGAAGAUCUAACCUGGAGGACACAGACAGCAGGAACUUCCCAGCCAAAGUGCCCGGGGAUCACGUGGUAAGUGACGACCAUCACUUACUAUGUCUUAAAAUAUGAAGACAUCAAAAGAACUCUAAGUGGGGACUCAAACAGAUAUUUGCACACCAUGUUCAUUGUGCAUUAUUCACAAAGCCAAAAGGUGGAAACAACCCAGAUGUCCAUCAACAGAUGAAUGGAUAAACAAAUGUGGCCUGUCCACACAAUGGAACACUAAACCUUAAAAGAGGACAUUCUGACACCUGCUACAACUUGGAUGAAGCUUGAAGACUUACACUGAAUGAAAUAAGCUAUAACAAAAGUCAAAUGUUGUAUGAUUCUACUCAUAAAAGGUGCCUAGAGUAGUCAGACUCAGUGGACAGAAAGUAGAGUGGUGGGUCCAAGGGCUGAAGGAAGAGGGAGAGAGAGUCAGUGUUUGAUGGGGGCACAGUUUCGGUUUGGGAUGAUGCAAAAGUUCUGGAGAUGGACAAUGUGAUGGCUGCACAACCAUGUGAAGGUCUUUCAUACCACUGAAGUGCACGCUUAAAAGCAAUUAAAUGGUAAGUUUCACGUUAUGUGUACUCUACUACAACACACAUACACACACACACAGAUCUGUGUCUUAGAUGAGUUAUUCUGAGUAGGACAGCCCCAUCUGGUCUGGUGUAGCAGUCUCUUUGUUUACAUAGGAAGGGUCUUAUAGGAAUACCUGUUCUCAGAUAUUAAUCAAAGCAACACCUUCCUCCUCUCUGUUGUAGUUUAUUCUGAGAGCCACCUGUCAAAUCCAGAUUCUGGCCCAUCUGGGAAAUUAACAGCUAUCUGCAGAUUUAAGGCCAUAACCCAGUGGCCUUCCUACAUCGAGCCCUUCUUUCCUCAGGGACGCUCUGUGCAAAGGCCCUGCUCAGCCUCGUGCUGGUGGUUCUGACUGCCACAGGAGAGGCAGCAUUGCAGGACCCGGUGGGCAGUGUGGUGUCAGGUGGGGCUGCAGACGGCUGCCAGGCCAACCACUGCCGUUCUGGACAAAGGCCCAGCCCGUCCUGGCCUCCUAAUUGCUACUCCCUUGAAUAUGCUGGAAGCCUACUGACGACGAAACAUCACCCAUCUGGGAUGCCUUGUGCUGUGUAACUUCUAAGUGUUUUACACAGACAGCUCUGUGAGGUGUCUGUUAUCAUCUCCAGGCAUCUUUCCAGGCCUCACAACUGGUCAUAGAAAGAUCUGGGCCUGAAUCCAAGCAAGCUUCUUCUUCUCCCGGCUCCAGUUGAGUUGCCAGCCCUCCCUCAAGCAGGUUUCUCUCUGGAAAGGCAGUUGUUAGGAACAACAGCUGGAGAUCUGCAGGCAGGCAAUGAGCAGGUGGUCCAGGGUUCUUGAAUGAACAAGUGUGGGUCCCAAGCACAGUUUUGAAAGGUCUCACUCUCAAUUCCUGAGUCUAACUUGUGUCCAUUGCAGCUGAGGGACCUGGGUUGCUUUCCUGGGUCUUGGCCUAGAACUCCUGCAACUAUCUCAGUCGUAUAGAUGAGAGAGUCAGAGGCUCUCAGGACAUGCGAGACACUAUCAGGCCCUUUCCCAAGGGGACAGGGGCACUUGGGUUAGUGCAUUUGAUGAGAUGGAGUGACGUUUGUUUGUGCCCCCCCACCCCACUUUCUGCUCCUUUCCCCUCCACACACCAGUGUGUGCACACACACCCAUGGACAUGCAGAGGACACACACACACACACACACACACACACACACACACACAUUCUUUCUUGAAAUGACUUUGGCAGAAGCAAAGCCAAAUCUUUCUAAUUCUCUGUAAAUAAGGUAAAAAGGAGAUAACUCUACGCCAGAGAAAGACCUUCUCACCAGGUUGAAUUAGGAGGCUGCCUGCCCUUCACCAUUUUCAGGACAAAACAUUGGCCAAUGGUUUCCCUGAGCCCUCACCCCAGGAAACUAAUUAGGGUCGCAUGUGACAGCAGGGGACGUUUCCAGUCCAUGAACUAGGGUCGCAGGUACUCUGAGAACUUCCCUCACAAUCUGCUUUCUAAGGCACGUGCCCUGAAACAAGGCGUUGUGACCACUGUCUUCAGCUCUUGGUAAUCUGGAAUCCCCCUUCUCAGCUACAGGCCUCUCCCGGGAAGGGGUCAACCAGAAAGCAGGAAAGAACACACAGGCUUGUGAACGCAGAGCAGUGUGGAGUGUAAAGUGCCUCAGCCAGUCAUCGAAAAUAAGAAAGGAGUCCAAUGUCAAAGCUGACAUUGUCGUGCUCAUUUCCAAGUACUGUGGGGCUUUUUCAUGUUGGUUUCAUGGAAAUUUAUGUUUGCGGAGAAGACUGUGUUUGCUAUAGGAUCUUGCUGUGUUCAUUUAGCCCAGUAAUAAAAACCAUC